GGCUGGGUAGCUCAGUUGGUGAGAGCGCACGACUCAUAAUCGUGAGGUCGCGGGUUCGAAUCCCGCUCCAGCUA
rnacentral:tRNA from 2 species